rnacentral:rRNA from 1 species
AUUGAACGCUGGCGGCAUGCUUUACACAUGCAAGUCGAACGGUAACAGGGUGCUUGCACCGCUGACGAGUGGCGAACGGGUGAGUAAUGCGUCGGAACGUGCCGAGUAGUGGGGGAUAACGCAGCGAAAGUUGUGCUAAUACCGCAUACGUACUGAGGUAGAAAGUGGGGGACCUUCGGGCCUCACGCUAUUCGAGCGGCCGACGUCUGAUUAGCUAGUAGGUGAGGUAAAGGCUCACCUAGGCGACGAUCAGUAGCGGGUCUGAGAGGAUGAUCCGCCACACUGGGACUGAGACACGGCCCAGACUCCUACGGGAGGCAGCAGUGGGAAUUUUGGACAAUGGGCGAAAGCCUGAUACAGCCAUGCCGCGUGUCUGAAGAAGGCCUUCGGGUUGUAAAGGACUUUUGUCAGGGAGGAAAUCCCUAGUGCUAAUAACACUGGGGGAUGACAGUACCUGAAGAAUAAGCACCGGCUAACUACGUGCCAGCCGCCGCUGUAA